GAGGGUAUAGCUCAAGUGGUAGAGCACAUGCUUAGUAGGCAUGAGGUCCCAGGUUCAAGCCCCAGGACCUAUA
rnacentral:tRNA from 1 species